GACGAACGCUGGCGGCGUGCUUAACACAUGCAAGUCGAACGAUGAAGGAGAGCUUGCUCUCCGGAUUAGUGGCGAACGGGUGAGUAACACGUGACUAACCUGCCCCUUUCUCUGGGAUAACGCUCCGAAAGGAGUGCUAAUACCGGAUACGAACUCUGAACACAUGUUCGGAGUUGGAAAGUUUUUCGGAAAGGGAUGGAGUCGCGGCCUAUCAGCUUGUUGGUGAGGUAAUGGCUCACCAAGGCGACGACGGGUAGCCGGCCUGAGAGGGCGACCGGCCACACUGGGACUGAGACACGGCCCAGACUCCUACGGGAGGCAGCAGUGGGGAAUAUUGCACAAUGGGCGAAAGCCUGAUGCAGCGACGCCGCGUGAGGGAUGACGGUCUUCGGAUUGCAAACCUCUUUCAGUAGGGACGAAGCGAAAGUGACGGUACCUAAAGAAGAAGCACCGGCUAACUACGUGCCAGCAGCCGCCGCCG
rnacentral:rRNA from 1 species